ACAAGUAGCCUUGACAUUGCACAUAAUAUAUCUAAAAAAGGGACCAACUCAUGCAUACAAUGCUCAAUCUCCAUUGUUCUACCCUUUUCUCAAACAUACAAGUUACAAUCACUUCAUAAUGUCAAACCCAACUCCCAUCUCUCACCAAAAGAUCCCAAGAACACUUUGCACAUAAAACUCUUUUUCUUUGAAAUCUAUAAAGGAUUUUCUUAACUUCUAAACAAAUCUUAGCUCUAAACAACUUUGCUAGCCUUUUUUUUUUUUUUUUUUUUUUUUUUUUUUUUCUUUUUUUUUUUUUUUUUUUUUUUNNNNNNNNNNNNNNNNNNNNNNUUUUUUUUUUUUUUUAUUCUUUUUUUCCUUUAUUUAUUUAUUUAUUUUUUUUGUUUGGGGGCCAAGACUUUUCACAAAUCGAGCUAGAAGUUUCUCUACUUAUCCUAUAAAGACUAGUCAAUUAAACACAAGAGUUCACUCUUUUCCUUCAACUUUCUCAUACUCCCAAAUCAAACUUCACAACACUCACUCCCAUCCUAUGGCUAGACAAUAAUGUGCCUAAUCUAGCAAGAAUGAAGAUCAAGCAUUGUCGUUCCCGAUACUCUCAACAUUAUGUGCAUGUAAGACUUUCCGAAAAAGACCUCACUCAU
rnacentral:lncRNA from 1 species